UCUGGGUACAACCACCAUGGCCUGGACUCUCUCUCUCCUUGUCCUUAAUCUCUGCACAGGCUCCAUGGUCUCCAGCGAGGUGACUCAGCCACCCUUUCUGUCAGUGGCCCUGGGAGAAAUGGCUACAAUCACCUGUACCAGAGAGGAACUUGAAGAUGGUUAUGCACACUGGUACCAGCAGAAGCCAGGCCAAGCCCCUUUGAUGGUUAUUUAUGGUGAUAGUGAGUGGCCCUCGGGGAUCCCUGAACGAUUCUCUGGCUCCAAGUCGGGGAACACAGCCACCCUGACCAUCACUGGGACACAGGCUGAGGAUGAGGCUGACUAUUACUGUCAGAGCUAUGAUGGCCAUACUGAUGUGCACAGUGACACAGGCAGAUGGGAAGUGGGACACAAACCCGUUCCCCAUCUGUGUCAUACUCUCCUCCAGCCCCAGGAGACCUGUGCACAAUACAGGGAGCAUAUUUGGCCCAGGUCCCCAGAUCUGAGGCCUCCACUCUGUCCCCUUCCUCCCAGUUCUCCAGGCAGGCUGUACAGGGCGGAUCACCAGGGGAUUUGUAAUCAGUUAUUAGAAUUCUAUUAA